UAGGUAUCGGCCUGGAGUGAUUCCAAGCUCUCCUGGAACAGGAGGUGCCCCCACUCUGGGCAUAAAUAUCUCUCCCUCAUCCCUCGCAGACAACGAUCUUUGAGUACCAUCCAGUCAUAACAUAGACAUGGCCAAGGUAACGGAGUCAACGUGAAAGCUGCUGAAUCUCUUAUAACAACUUUCAGGACACUUGGUGCAUGCCGUUUUGAAACACCUCAAGCUGAGCCUGUUGUUCUGAAAUGUCAGAAUGUUCCAUUCUGACAGAAUGACACAUAGUACAAGCUUUCUGUCUUACUGCCACACGUCAGUGUCCUGGGAGAUGAACCAGAUGCAGGUGAUGCCGAAGAGGUGACGGGGCCAGGGCUGGGGCAUGAGCACUGGUCAACACUGACACUCAACAGCUCCCAUCUGGCCUGUGUGUGAGCACCCGAGUGUAGCUCAAGGCAGGGACAAUAUUUGCUGGAAGUUUAGGUGUUCCCUAGGCGUCCUAGCUAGGCAGAGGAGGGAAUGAAGACAGGUUUUGCAAGUAGAAAUAAAAAAGAAGCACUAUUAUAGCAUGAUAACAUUUCCUAAAGUCAUUUUAUGAACCAUUUUUGGUUCC
rnacentral:lncRNA from 1 species